AGUGAACGCUGGCGGUAGGCCUAACACAUGCAAGUCGAACGGCAGCACAGGAGAGCUUGCUCUCUGGGUGGCGAGUGGCGGACGGGUGAGGAAUACAUCGGAAUCUACUCUGUCGUGGGGGAUAACGUAGGGAAACUUACGCUAAUACCGCAUACGACCUACGGGUGAAAGCAGGGGACCUUCGGGCCUUGCGCGAUUGAAUGAGCCGAUGUCGGAUUAGCUAGUUGGCAGGGUAAAGGCCCACCGAGGCGACGAUCCGUAGCUGGUCUGAGAGGAGGAUCAGCCACACUGGAACUGAGACACGGUCCAGACUCCUACGGGAGGCAGCAGUGGGGAAUAUUGGACAAUGGGCGCAAGCCUGAUCCAGCCAUACCGCGUGGGUGAAGAAGGCCUUCGGGUUGUAAAGCCCUUUUGUUGGGAAAGAAAUCCAUCUGGUUAAUACCCGGAUGGGAUGACGGUACCCAAAGAAUAAGCACCGGCUAACUUCGUGCCAGCAGCCGCCGCCG
rnacentral:rRNA from 1 species